rnacentral:tRNA from 1 species
GCACCAAUAGCUCAGUUGGUUGGAGCGUGGUGCUGGUAACACUAAGUUGUGGUUUUGAUUCCCACAUGGGCCA